rnacentral:rRNA from 1 species
AACGAACGCUGGCGGCAUGCCUAACACAUGCAAGUCGAACGAGACCUUCGGGUCUAGUGGCGCACGGGUGCGUAACGCGUGGGAACCUGCCCUUAGGUUCGGAAUAACUCCCCGAAAGGGGUGCUAAUACCGGAUAAUGUCUUCGGACCAAAGAGUUAUCGCCUUUGGAUGGGCCCGCGUUGGAUUAGCUAGUUGGUAGGGUAAAAGCCUACCAAGGCGACGAUCCAUAGCUGGCCUGAGAGGAUGAUCAGCCACACUGGGACUGAGACACGGCCCAGACUCAUUCGACAGGGAGCAGUGGGGAAUAUUGGACAAUGGGCGAGAGCCUGAUCCAGCAACGGCGCGUGAGUGAUGAAGGCCUUAGGGUUGUGAAGCUCUUUUACCCGGGAGGAUAAUGACAGUACCGGGAGAAUAAGCUCCGGGUAACUCCGGGC